UACGGUGGGGGCAAGCGUUGUUCGGAAUUACUGGGCGUAAAGGGCUCGUAGGCGGCCAAUUAAGUCAGACGUGAAAUCCCUCGGCUUAACCGGGGAACUGCGUCUGAUACUGGAUGGCUUGAAUCCGGGAGAGGGAUGCGGAAUUCCAGGUGUAGCGGUGAAAUGCGUAGAUAUCUGGAGGAACACCGGUGGCGAAGGCGGCAUCCUGGACCGGCAUUGACGCUGAGGAGCGAAAGCCAGGGGAGCAAACAGG
rnacentral:rRNA from 1 species